GUUGUCUCCAUUCUAUGUUCCAGUUUUGCCUAGACGUUUCCUAGGUACACAGACACUCUCUAGCAGGAAGACAGACUCCAGAUUUAGUUAUCAUGAACUACCACAGACAGCCAAGAUGUCGACAUGCGGCUGAUUCCUCUGAUUCGGUUCCUCCUGGGACUAUGGCGUUGAGAUGGUGAAGCAUGUCCUAUUAAUGAGGCAUGGAAGAAGCACCUGGAGCCCAUUAGCAAUGGAGAUGCUGUCACAACUGUAAUGUGACUGGGGACGUCUGUCCUGCGUAACUCGUGAUGGGAUGGGAGAUGGAGUCUACGCUUGCUAUGACUUUACCAUCUCAUCUGUCUCCGUCACUGUAGGUGGUUUCUUGUCAUUAUUCAGGGAACCGGGACAAAUCCAAGUUUCACUGCCAAAGAACUGACUUCUGCUGGGUAAUCACUGUGGCUGGUCCAAUCUGGAUCAAGGCAAUUCCACAUUCAGGGCCUUCACAAUGAACUCAACUAAAUACCAGCUUGUAGUAGGAUAACAAGGUAUGACUGAAAACAAUAUAGACUAGCAAAGGGAAGGAAAUGGCUUAAGCCAAAACAAGCUAAGUUCUGGAGAACCCUGAGUCUGGUUUUCAAGGAGAACUCAGAUACCCAAGGUAUUAGAGGCAGGCCACCAAAUAAAGUCAGAAGAAACCAAAGUAGAUGAGAGCCCCGUGAGAAUAAAGUUCCCAUCAAUC